AUGACACUGUCACUGCUCUUCUCCCUUUUCCUACUCGCCGCCCCAUCAGGUGUCCUCUCCCAAGUGCAGCUGGUCCAGACCGGCCCAGGGGCAGUGAAGCCCUCAGAGACCCUCAGUAUCACCUGUAAGGUUUCUGGUGUCUCUGUCAGCAGCAACUAUUGGGGCUGGGUCCGACAGCCACCGGGGAAAGGGCUGGAGUGGGUGGGGCACAUCCGGAGCACUGCAGGCGGAGGCACCAACUACAGUGACUCCAUAAAAGGGCGAUUCACCGUCUCCAGAGAUGACCCCAACAGCCUGCUGUACCUGCAAAUGACCGGCCUGAAGCCCGAGGACACCGCCCGGUAUCACUGUGCGAGAGACACA